rnacentral:tRNA from 1 species
GAACGCGUAGCUCAGUUGGAAGAGCAUUGGGCUGGUAUUCCAAAGGUCGUAGGUUCGAAUCCACCCGUGGCCG